GAUGAACGCUGGCGGCGUGCCUAAUACAUGCAAGUCGAGCGAACAGACGAGGAGCUUGCUCCUCUGACGUUAGCGGCGGACGGGUGAGUAACACGUGGAUAACCUACCUAUAAGACUGGGAUAACUUCGGGAAACCGGAGCUAAUACCGGAUAAUAUAUUGAACCGCAUGGUUCAAUAGUGAAAGACGGUUUUGCUGUCACUUAUAGAUGGAUCCGCGCCGCAUUAGCUAGUUGGUAAGGUAACGGCUUACCAAGGCGACGAUGCGUAGCCGACCUGAGAGGGUGAUCGGCCAAACUGGAACUGAGACACGGUCCAGAAUCCUACGGGAGGCAGCAGUAGGGAAUCUUCCGCAAUGGGCGAAAGCCUGACGGAGCAACGCCGCGUGAGUGAUGAAGGUCUUCGGAUCGUAAAACUCUGUUAUUAGGGAAGAACAAAUGUGUAAGUAACUAUGCACGUCUUGACGGUACCUAAUCAGAAAGCCACGGCUAACUACGUG
rnacentral:rRNA from 1 species